AAGGGAGACCUAAUUCAGGUAUGGGACGAAAAAAAAGUAGUCGCUACCAAGAAUCAAUCCCAAAAGGUCGGAGCGAGGUAUGAGGCUUUCAAACUAGGUUCUGGGUUCACACAAGACCUGAAUCAGGAACAAGGGCUAUUAGCUCAGGUGGUUAGAGCGCACCCCUGAUAAGGGUGAGGUCCCUGGUUCGAGUCCAGGAUGGCCCACCUGCACAGGUGGCCAAAACCAAGAAAAGAAGCGAGGAAUCAGCACCUGCUCUUACCUACAUAGUAAGAGAGAAUGCUGGCUCUGAGUACAGAGUCCAGAGGAACCUUGAAAACUGCAUAGAGCUAGGUGAAAAAGCCAAAAAAGAAGACCGCAA
rnacentral:tRNA from 1 species